ACACAAUACUGGAACACAUUCAAGUGUCUCUGUGACAAACAGAAGUCGCUGAAAAACUUCAUGUUCCCCGUAUGCUUUAUAACAAAUAGUAACUGUUUAAAAUAAUUGAAAAUAAAAGAAAAUCACAACAUAGAAGACAAUUCUAGCACAUUCAGAAACAAUAGUAGUGUUAUUGGGUAAGACUCCUCCUGAAGGCCCACUAUCAUUUUGUACACAAAGAUUAUGUAAUCAAGAUGUGAGCACACUGUUGAAGUAGAAACAACGGCGAAGAACUUGAAUAAGUAUACAAGCCAAGUAGCUGUAAAAAGUGCAAACAUAACUUUAAAAAGCUAACGGUGCCAGAUGGAAAGCAAGUUUGCGAUCCUAGUGGGAUUACAGAGUGGGAAGAUGCAACCAAGCGGCCUGAUGUUUAAUGCAGAAACCUACAAGUGUUGACACUCGAGAGACGACGUCUGAGCCAACAGAAAGGAGAACAACUUGCCUACAGCUCACUCAACUUAUAUGGCAGUGGAAGCUGGUGGUCGCCGCCGAGGAGGAGGAGGAAGAGGAGGGUGCGCCUCCUCUGGACAGUUGCCGAGAGAAUGACUGGUGGUGGUGGUGAGGAUGAUGAUGAUGCUGCUGCUGAUGAUGAUGAUGGGCGCCGGCCUGCAGGUCAUCCAGAAGAUCCUCCAACUCGCUGGUCUGAGGUGAAACGUUCACGCAGGACUUCAUUUGAAAUUCUAACCCAAGAUGAAAAACCUAACUGAGGCUUAAAAUACAAACAUGACAACUUAACUAGACCUACAACCCUAUUUUAAAAGCCUAACACAGACUUGAGACUAAUUUAAAAUUACAACCCUUGCCAAGACCUGCAACCGAAUAUUCAAACGCCAAUUUUAGUUUAAAAUCCAAACCGAGCCUUAAUAGGGUGAUUUAAAACGUGAACUCUUGUCUGAACCCCUAAUUUGAAACCCUAUUUGAAAAUCCUAUGGCACACUUGAAACCCUAACUUGGAUUUGCAACCCUAAUUUCUAAACGCUAAUUCUAGUUUAAGAAGGCUAUCCGGGCUUGAGACCAUAAUGUAAAAUUAGAACCCUUAUUUGGAACCAUAAUUUAAAACCAUGACCUGGUCUUGAAACACAAAAUUGAAACUCUAACCCAAGCUUGAAACUCUAAUUUGAACCUUAGCGCUCGUUUAAAAACCCAAACACAGGCUUGAAACCCUCAUCUGAAACCCUUCUAUUUGCUUAAAAUCUUAACCCUUUGCUUUCAACACUACC